rnacentral:rRNA from 1 species
ACUCCUACGGGAGGCAGCAGUAGGGAAUUUUCGCAAUGGACGGAAGUCUGACGGAGCAAUGCCGCGUGAGGGAAGAAGGUUUUCGGAUUGUAAACCUCUGUUGUAAGGGAAGAACGACUAUAGAAGGGAAUGUCUAUAGAGUGACGGUACCUUACCAGAAAGGGACGGCUAACUACGUGCCAGCAGCCGCGGUAAUACGUA